rnacentral:lncRNA from 1 species
UACCUGCGUGCCUUGCCAGAAGUUCGAGAAGGUGAAGACCGUGGCACCAGAGCUGAAGCUUGUGUCACCUUGGUACAAGAUCGUGUGGACCUCAUCUGACCGUUCAAGGUCUCAUCAAGGUAUGGGAAUCGGCACUGUCUUACCGCAACUGAUUUUCUUCACUCAGUGGGUGGAGGCCAUUCCUAUCAAGGACAAGAAGGCAGUGGCAACAUCCCAGGCCAUGAUGGACAUCUUCCACGCCCAUGGUGCACCUGAGGUCAUCCAGACAGACAGGGGCAGAGAGUUCUAG